rnacentral:lncRNA from 1 species
GUGAGUUUUCCUGCUUAUCCUGCACAUCAGGAAUGAGGAAUAUUUCAAGUCCAUGAAUGAGCUAUUGCAUAUUGAUGUGUCAGUUACAGAUAAAAUUUUCUGGUUCCUCUUUGUCACAUAUGACACUGCAGUGAACGGUUCCAGAUAUACUCCUGUGAUGUGGCCUCUGUUACACUAUGAGCAGAAAAUUGGGGAAAGGAGCCAGAUGCCGUGGCACACUCCUGAAAUCCCGGCUACUCGGGAGGCCGAGGCAGGAGCCUUCCAAGUUCAAGGCCAGCCUGGCCAACUUAGUGGCCAACCCCCAAAUAAAAAGUGGUAAAGGGCUGGGGACCUAGCCCAUUGGCACAGCACCCUGGGUUCAAUCCCCGGUACCAUAAAACAAAGCAAAUGAAACGACGAAGACCAAAACUCAGAAAACUGGGGAAAGAGUGUUGGGGAGGGACAGUGUAGCUGGUUAGAAUAAGAGCCCUUAUCAAAGGCUUUGUAUGUAUCAGCCAUGACACAAUGUUUUAUGUGACUCGAUUUAUUUAUUCCUCACCAUAACCCCGUGGAGUAGGUGCAGUUAUAUCCCCAUCUUGCAGUGGGAGAAUCUGAGUCACAGAAGGAUGAAGUGACUUACCCAAAGUCCCAGAGAGCUGGGCAGAGGCAGGAUUUGAGUCCAGACUGGCUGGCGGCACAGUCCUUUCUCUUCCUGGGUCCUGUGGCCUCGAUGAAGGCUUCAUGAAGGAGGAAAGACCUGAGCUAGGCUUUGGAGAAGGACAGGUCCCACGUCAUAGAGACAAUCUGAGUGGUGGCCCAGGGAAGAACAGGGCCCAGGUGAGCCGGUUAGUUCCCCAGGGAAGAAGAAAGUGACCUCAGCCAGCAAAGGGCAUGUGUUGGGAGCAGGGGACGAUGGUGGGGCUGGAGGAUGAGGACAGAAUAGAAAAAGUCUUAGCCUCUAGGCAGAGGGAUUGACUGGAUCUGGAAGUGGUUUUGAAGUGUUGAAGGUGACUUGCUAGGAGAGAGGUCUGGGGAGGUUUCUGGGUGCCAGUGUUAGGUCUGGGGGAGGAGGCGUGGAGGCAGGAAGAGGCUCUGAGUCUAGCAUGGGUGGGUGCAGGGAUGAAGGAAGAGGGAGCCCAUGACACCUUCCUUCCCGUCAAGUUAGCUCAUGAUGAGAAUCAGCCCAGCAACUGCGCAGCUGCUCGGUUUUCUUACAGUAAUGCAUGGAAGGAGCCAGAGGGCUUUGGGGGGAAGGCGCUGGGCCUUCUUCAGUGGAGUCUGUUUUCCUGUGGAGGCUGUUUCCCGCCCAGCCAGGGGCGGCAUUGCAUUCCGACUUGGUCAGAUCAGAAAGCAGC